rnacentral:tRNA from 1 species
GCGAGCAUAGCCAAGUGGAUAAGGCGGCGGAUUGCAAACCCGCAUACGUCGGUUCGAUUCCGACUGUUCGCU